rnacentral:rRNA from 1 species
GAUGAACGCUGGCGGCGCGCCUAAUACAUGCAAGUCGAGCGAAUGGAUUAAGAGCUUGCUCUUAUGAAGUUAGCGGCGGACGGGUGAGUAACACGUGGGUAACCUGCCCAUAAGACUGGGAUAACUCCGGGAAACCGGGGCUAAUACCGGAUAACAUUUUGAUCUGCAUGGUUCGAAAUUGAAAGGCGGCUUCGGCUGUCACUUCUGGAUGGCCCCGCGUCGCAUUCGCUAGUUGGUGAGGUAACGGCUCACCAAGGCAACGAUGCGUAGCCGACCUGAGAGGGUGAUCGGCCACACUGGGACUGAGACACGGCCCAGACUCCUACGGGAGGCAGCAGUAGGGAAUCUUCCGCAAUGGACGAAAGUCUGACGGAGCAACGCCGCGUGAGUGAUGAAGGCUUUCGGGUCGUAAAACUCUGCUGUUAGGGAAGAACAAGUGCUAGUUGAAUAAGCUGGCACCUUGACGGUACCUAACCAGAAAGCCACGGCUAACUACGUGCCAGCCGCCGCGGUAA